CAACCCCUUCGCUGGUGGCUGGAGCACGGCGUGGCCCGAAUGAAUUGUUUGUCUUGGCAGCCGUUUCUCAACACUCGCAUCUGGACAGCGCAUCUGACUGCCGGUGCAGUGGCGGAGAAAUUGCUCCGCUGAGGACUCCCCUGGGCGCAGUGUUGUUAUCACCUGCGGGAUUUUGCCAUGGCCUGUGCGCCUCUCUCCCCUGACGGCUCGGAUGCUGUGGCUGAAUGGAUUGGGUGCUAUUAAUUGCUAGGCCCACCUUCGGACAACUGGUCCUGCUGUUUUGGCUCUUUGGAAUAACUUGCCGUUGCGUAGCGAGCCCCGUGUCUGGUGACGUGCCCCCCCUUCGGGACUCUGGAGCGGUUCGGGCUCUCAGGGAACUCGCCAACCAAGUCUCCCUGAUACAACUCACUGUUUACUUUGAGAAACUGUUAUUUUGGUUUUGUUAUUUUCUUUUGUUAAUUUAGUUUAUAUACUAGUGUUUUUCUUAUUUUAUAUUAACCAUGGUGCACCGACUUUAUUUGGAUCCCGUCAUUCAUUUGGUUUUGUUUGGUUAUUUAUUUAGUUGUUUAUUUGAGUGUAAUACUGUGUGGAGGUUUUAACCGUCUUCAUCUUGUCAGACAGGUGCUGUGGGCCUGAGGCGGCAACCCCAGUCCCUGGUGGUGGUGGUGGUCUUCACAAGUCCUAUUGUUUGAUGAGCGGUGUCACGGGUGCUUUUGAGUUUGACCCUUCCCCCCUAUUUAUUUAUUGCUGCCUGGUAAGCCCCAGCCCUGUCUUGUACCUCCUAUGCCCCAGUAUGAACUUUUAGCUGAUUGUAUUAUGUGGAUCUGGUGUUUUUAGAAUAGUUAAUUGAUUGUUAUAAAGUAAAUGUGGUAACUGUCUCUGGCCCGUUAUGUAAAACGAA